AGAGUUUGAUCCUGGCUCAGAUUGAACGCUGGCGGCAUGCUUUACACAUGCAAGUCGGACGGCAGCACAGAGAAGCUUGCUUCUUGGGUGGCGAGUGGCGAACGGGUGAGUAACAUAUCGGAACGUACCGAGCAGUGGGGGAUAACUAAUCGAAAGAUUAGCUAAUACCGCAUAUAUUCUGAGGAAGAAAGCAGGGGACCAUUUGGCCUUGCGCUGUUUGAGCGGCCGAUAUCUGAUUAGCUAGUUGGUGGGGUAAAGGCCUACCAAGGCGACGAUCAGUAGCGGGUCUGAGAGGAUGAUCCGCCACACUGGGACUGAGACACGGCCCAGACUCCUACGGGAGGCAGCAGUGGGGAAUUUUGGACAAUGGGCGCAAGCCUGAUCCAGCCAUGCCGCGUGUCUGAAGAAGGCCUUCGGGUUGUAAAGGACUUUUGUCAGGGAAGAAAAGGGCGGGGUUAAUACCCCUGUCUGAUGACGGUACCUGAAGAAUAAGCACCGGCUAACUACGUGCCAGCAGCCGCGGUAAUACGUAGGGUGCGAGCGUUAAUCGGAAUUACUGGGCGUAAAGCGGGCGCAGACGGUUACUUAAGCAGGAUGUGAAAUCCCCGGGCUCAACCUGGGAACUGCGUUCUGAACUGGGUGACUAGAGUGUGUCAGAGGGAGGUAGAAUUCCACGUGUAGCAGUGAAAUGCGUAGAGAUGUGGAGGAAUACCGAUGGCGAAGGCAGCCUCCUGGGAUAACACUGACGUUCAUGCCCGAAAGCGUGGGUAGCAAACAGGAUUAGAUACCCUGGUAGUCCACGCCCUAAACGAUGUCGAUUAGCUGUUGGGCAGCAUGACUGCUUAGUAGCGAAGCUAACGCGUGAAAUCGACCGCCUGGGGAGUACGGUCGCAAGAUUAAAACUCAAAGGAAUUGACGGGGACCCGCACAAGCGGUGGAGCAUGUGGUUUAA
rnacentral:rRNA from 1 species